rnacentral:rRNA from 1 species
GACGAACGCUGGCGGCGUGCCUAAUACAUGCAAGUAGGACGCAGUUGCGAACGGGUGAGUAACGCGUAGGUAACUACCUAUUAGAGGGGGAUAACUAUUGGAAACGAUAGCUAAUACCGCAUACUAGUAGAUGGACCUGCGUUGUAUUAGCUAGUAGGUAGGGUAAAGGCCUACCUAGGCAACGAUACAUAGCCGACCUGGGGAGGGGGUCGGGCAAACUGGGAAUGGGGCACGGCCCAGAAUCCUACGGGGGGGAACAGUAGGGAAACUUCGGGAAAGGGGGGAACCCUGACCGAGCAACGCCGCGUGAGUGAAGAAGGUUUUCGGAUCGUAAAGCUCUGUUGUUAAGGAAGCGGUACUUAACCAGAAAGGGACGGCUAACUACGUGCCAGCAGCCGCGGUAAUUC